rnacentral:rRNA from 1 species
GGAUGCGAUCAUACCAGCACUAAAGCACCGGAUCCCAUCAGAACUCCGAAGUUAAGCGUGCUUGGGCGAGAGUAGUACUAGGAUUGGUGACCUCCUAGGAAGUCCUCGUGUUGCUGAAA